rnacentral:rRNA from 1 species
GACGAACGCUGGCGGCGUGCCUAAUACAUGCAAGUCGAGCGCAGCGGGGACGGGGGCGUAACACGUGGUUACACUCCUAUAACUCCGCGUUAACUUCGGGAAACCGGUGCUAAACCGGAUAUUCAUAGAUGGAUCCUCGCUGCAUUAGCUAGUUGGUAAGGUAACGGCUUACCAAGGCCACGAUGCAGAGCCGACCUGAGAGGGUGAUCGGCCACACUGGAACUGAGACACGGUCCAGACUCCUACGGGAGGCAGCAGUAGGGAAUCUUCCGCAAUGGGCGAAAGCCUGACCGAGCAACGCCGCGUGAGUGAUGAAGGUCUUCGGAUCGUAAAACUCUGUUGUUAGAGAAGCGGUACCUAAUCAGAAAGCCACGGCUAACUACGUGCCAGCAGCCGCGGUAAUUC